rnacentral:rRNA from 1 species
UUGGCUCAGAACGAACGCUGGCGGCGUGGAUAAGACAUGCAAGUCGAACGGAAUUUAGCAAUAAAUUUAGUGGCGCAAGGGUGAGUAACACGUGAGGAAUUUGCCGUGAAGUUUGGAAUAGCCCGCCGAAAGGUGGAUUAAUACCAGAUGUGAUCCAGGACCGGCAUCGGCCCUGGAUGAAAGGGGGGGAUCUUCGGACCUCCCGCUUCAUGAUAAUCUCGCGGCCCAUCAGCUAGUUGGUAGGGUAACGGCCUACCAAGGCAACGACGGGUAACUGGUCUGAGAGGACGAUCAGUCACACUGGAACUGAGACACGGUCCAGACACCUACGGGUGGCAGCAGUCGAGAAUCAUUCACAAUGGGCGAAAGCCUGAUGGUGCGACGCCGCGUGGGGGAAGAAGGGCUUCGGUCUGUAAACCCCUGUCAUCUGUUAACAAAGCAGCUCCAUUAACACCGGAGCUGUCUGAUAGUCGCAGAAGAGGAAGGGACGGCUAACUCUGUGCCAGCAGCCGCGGUAAUACAGAGGUCCCAAGCGUUGUUCGGAUUCACUGGGCGUAAAGGGUGCGUAGGCGGCAGUUUAAGUCUGAUGUGAAAGCUCCGGGCUCAACCCGGAAAUUGCAUUGGAUACUAUUCUGCUCGAGGAUCGGAGGGGGGACUGGAAUUCUUGGUGUAGCAGUGAAAUGCAUAGAUAUCAAGAGGAACACCAGUGGCGAAGGCGAGUCCCUGGACGAUUCCUGACGCUGAGGCACGAAGGCUAGGGUAGCAAACAGGAUUAGAUACCCUGGUAGUCCUAGCAGUAAACGGUGCACACUUGCUGUAGGCGGUUCGGCCCCGUCUGUGGCGAAGCUAACGUGAUAAGUGUGCCGCCUGGGGAGUACGGUCGCAAGGUUAAAACUCAAAGAAAUUGACGGGGGCCUGCACAAGCGGUGGAGUAUGUGGCUUAAUUCGAUACCACGCGAAGAACCUUACCUGGGCUUGACAUGCCUCUCUAAGGCUGUGAAAGCAGUCGAGCUCGCAAGAGCAAUUGGCACGGGUGCUGCAUGGCUGUCGUCAGCUCGUGUCGUGAGAUGUUGGGUUAAGUCCCGCAACGAGCGCAACCCUCGUGUUUUGUUGCCACUUCCGCUAGCGCGGAAAGCACUCUAAACAGACUGCCUGGCUUUAACCAGGAGGAAGGUGGGGAUGACGUCAAGUCAGUAUGGCCCUUACGUCCAGGGCUGCACACGUACUACAAAGCACGAUACAGAGGGUCGCCAAACCGCGAGGUGGAGCUAAUCCUAUAAAAUCGUGCCCAGUUCGGAUUGUAGUCUGCAACUCGACUACAUGAAGUUGGAAUCGCUAGUAAUGGCGCAUCAGCUACGGCGCCGUGAAUACGUUCCCAGGCCUUGUACACACCGCCCGUCACAUCAUGAAAGCCGGUUUUACCCGAAGUCGGUGAGCUAACCUCUAGGAGGCAACUGCCGAAGGUAAGGCUGGUGAUUGGGAUGAAGUCGUAACAAGGUA